UACGUAGGGUGCAAGCGUUAAUCGGAAUUACUGGGCGUAAAGCGUGCGCAGGCGGUUUUGUAAGUUUGUCGUGAAAUCCCCGGGCUCAACCUGGGAAUGGCGAUGAAGACUGCAAGGCUAGAAUCUGGCAGAGGGGGGUAGAAUUCCACGUGUGAGCAGUGAAAUGCGUAGAUAUGUGGAGGAACACCGAUGGCGAAGGCAGCCCCCUGGGUCAAGAUUGACGCUCAUGCACGAAAGCGUGGGGAGCAAACGAG
rnacentral:rRNA from 1 species